rnacentral:rRNA from 1 species
CCUACGGGAGGCAGCAGUGAGGAAUAUUGGUCAAUGGACGAGAGUCUGAACCAGCCAAGUAGCGUGAAGGAUGACUGCCCUAUGGGUUGUAAACUUCUUUUAUAUGGGAAUAAAAUGUUCCACGUGUGGGAUUUUGUAUGUACCAUAUGAAUACGGAUCGGCUAACUCCGUGCCAGCAGCCGCGGUAAUACGGAGGAUCCGAGCGUUAUCCGGAUUUAUUGGGUUUAAGGGGAUCGUAGGUGGAUUGUUAAGUCAGUUGUGAAAGUUUGCGGCUCAACCGUAAAAUUGCAGUUGAAACUGGCAGUCUGGAGUACAGUAGAGGAGGGCGGAAUGCGUGGUGUAGCGGUGAAAUGCUUAGAUAUCACGAAGAACUCCGAUUGCGAAGGCAGCUCACUGGACUGCAACGGACACUGAGGCUCGAAAGUGUGGGUAUCAAACAGGAUUAGAUACCCUAGUGUC